CUGGCGGCACGCCUAACACAUGCAAGUCGAACGAAGUAGCAAUACUUAGUGGCAGACGGGUGAGUAACAUGUGGGUAUCUACCCUUUGGCCUGGAAUAACACGAGGAAACUUGUGCUAAUACCGAAUAAGCCCUUACGGGGAAAGUUUUAACGCCGAAAGAUGAGCCUGCACUUGAUUAGCUAGUUGGUAAGGUAAAAGCUUACCAAGGCAACGAUCAAUAGCUGUUCUUAGAGGAAGACCAGCCACAUUGGGACUGAGACACGGCCCAGACUCCUACGGGAGGCAGCAGUGGGGAAUCUUGCACAAUGGGGGAAACCCUGAUGCAGCGAUGCCGCGUGAGUGAAGAAGGCCCUUGGGUUGUAAAACUCUUUCGUCGGGGAAGAAAAUGACUGUACCCGAAUAAGAAGGUCCGG
rnacentral:rRNA from 1 species